GCCUUCGUGGUGUAGUGGUCAACACGCUGGGCGCGUAUUCCAGAAGUCCAUGGUUCGAGUCCUGCGGAUGGCG
rnacentral:tRNA from 1 species